CAGUAGCCGCGGUAAUACGUAGGUGGCAAGCGUUGUCCGGAAUUAUUGGGCGUAUAGGGCUCGCAGGCGGUUUCUUAAGUCUGAUGUGAAAGCCCCCGGCUCAACCGGGGAGGGUCAUUGGAAACUGGGAAACUUGAGCGCAGAAGAGGAGAGUGGAAUUCCACGUGUAGCGGUGAAAUGCGUAGAGAUGUGGAGGAACACCAGUGGCGAAGGCGACUCUCUGGUCUGUAACUGACGCUGAGGAGCGAAAGCGUGGGGAGCGAACAGGAUUAGAUACCCGCGUAGUCCCUGUCUCUUAUAC
rnacentral:rRNA from 1 species